rnacentral:rRNA from 1 species
UACGUAGGCAGCGAGCGUUGUUCGGAGUUACUGGGCGUAAAGGGUGUGUAGGCGGUUGUUUAAGGUUGGUGUGAAAUCUCCCGGCUCAACUGGGAGGGUGCGCCGAAUACUGAGCGACUAGAGCGCGGGAGAGGAAAGUGGAAUUCCUGGUGUAGCGGUGAAAUGCGUAGAUAUCAGGAGGAACACCGGUGGUGUAGACGGCUUUCUGGACCGUAACUGACGCUGAGACACGAAAGCGUGGGUAGCAAACAGG